rnacentral:rRNA from 1 species
UACGUAGGCAGCGAGCGUUGUUCGGAGUUACUGGGCGUAAAGGGAGCGUAGGCGGACAGUUUAGUCAGAGGUGAAAGCCCAGGGCUCAACCCUGGAAUUGCCUUUGAUACUGAUUGUCUUGAGUAUGGGAGAGGUGAGUGGAACUCCGAGUGUAGAGGUGAAAUUCGUAGAUAUUCGGAAGAACACCAGUGGCGAAGGCGACUCACUGGCCCAUUACUGACGCUGAGGCUCGAAAGCGUGGGGAGCAAACAGG